CAAGUCUUGUCAGUAAGGUAGAACAUAGUCUGAAACAGGAGGAAUUGUCAGGUCUUGUCAGUAAGGUAGAACAUAGUCUGAAACAGGAGGAAUUGUCAGGUCUUGUAGUUAAGUAAAACACAAACUGAAACAGUGAACUCUCAGAUCUUUCCAUAAUGGUAGAACACAAACUGAAACUGAGGGAGUUUUCAGUUUUUAUAUAUGUGCUCAUUUUAUAAUAAAAACGUUUUGUGUCUCAGAAGAAAAAAAACAGAAAUGUGGAACACAAAUCUGGUGCUUGAAUGGCUAUUUUGCAGUAUGAAGUGUUAGAAAAGAAAUAUCUUGGCUGAUAUGCUCUGGUUGUUUAGUUUUAUACAGUUUAUCUUCAUAGCUCAACAAUGUAUUUCAAUAAACAUAGUAUUUAACUGUAGCAAACGAUUUGUAACACUAGACCAAUCAGUUGUGUUAUAAGUUGUUUUUUGAAAGUGAUAAUUAUAUCAACAUUGUAUUAAGUGUUACCCUAAUAAAACAUAGUUUAUGUA